rnacentral:rRNA from 1 species
CACGAAGUUAGCCGGGGCUUCUUCUGCGGGUACCGUCAUUAUCGUCCCCGCCGAAAGAGCUUUACAACCCUAGGGCCUUCAUCACUCACGCGGCAUGGCUGGAUCAGGCUUGCGCCCAUUGUCCAAUAUUCCCCA